rnacentral:lncRNA from 1 species
UGUCAUCAGAUAGAAUCAAUAAAUAGCUUUACAUCCAGUAUAUUAGAUUACUAAAUCCAUACUAUUACUUUUUUGCUCUUUGAGAAGAUACAUAAAAUUUUUCUUUCUUUUUUUUGUUUCUCUUCUUUCAAGCCUUUUUCAAGUUUUCUUUUUCAUCUUGGCAUUUAAAGAAGUUUGUCGGAUCAAACCUUCCAGCGAGGAGGAUCAGGCUGAGCCGCAUUGUUGUAUCUUUGGAACGAGAUCAUUAUAUACAUGCACGUAGAGAGCAAAUCACGUUCUUAGGACAGUAUAUAUCACACACCUCGAUUCAGACAAGCUCUUUUCAAUCUUCUGAUCUAUUCUAAUAAAUCAUUUCUUUAUAAUACUUUUAUAAAAUAAAGAUAUAGCAGUUUUAGAUAAAUUAUUUU